AGGGGAGUGCUCAGAGAGAACGUAGAGUUGCCUUUAAUCCUAGAGCUCUGGAUGAACAACGGAAACAGCCUCUGCUCUGAAGAAGUUUGAGCCCCACCCUGUCCUUGAAGACCUUCGGAUGUCAAGCUUUCUCUGUCCACAUUGUGACUGAUGCAAUGACCCAAGUUCCCCACCAUAUUGCAGUAGAGGAAUGGGAGACGGUUCCACCCACUGCACAGCAUCCUCUUCCCCCCUACAGAUGGAGAUUUCCUGCGAUAAAGAAAUAACCAAUUAUGAUAUCAGACUGACUGUGAGAAGUUUGAGAUGUAGACAUGACUGUCUAGAUGCAUCUUUGAAUUCAGAAAGAUCUAACUAUUUUGCUGUGUGGAGAAGAUCAAAACAUAUUAUUGGUGAUGACUUCACCUCUAGAAAACAGUAUUGGGAGGUGGAUGUGGGUAACUCUUGGGAUUGGGCUCUAGGAGUCUGUAUAAGGAUUCUUAAAUAAGGAAGAAUGACACUGAUAGAAUCUAAGGAUAUGUUUCUUCUGUGUUUCCAGGAGGCGGGUAAUUGUUACAAUCCCUUAUCCACUUUCUCAGUGUUUGUCAGUAAAGAAAUCUCUGGGUCAGUUGGUAUGUUCCAUCUUCUAAAAUUAAAUGAUCUCUUGUGGCCCAUUUAUCUAGAAUACGUGCUAUGGUUACACGCCUGGUUGGAGUAUGCUGGAGUUACAGAAAUACACAAAUGUGUGAUUUAAACUUAAUGGUCUGGUGUAGGACACAGAGUUUGCCCAUCACAGACAGACUUGGUUAUCUACAAUGCCCAUGUCAAUCUGAAACCUUCUCCCACCUCUUCAUCUAGUGUAUCCUACCUAUAAAUUCACCGCCAGAAGAAAAAAACAUCUGUUUUCCAGGGAAAUCUCCACUGACCUCAGGACCAAACUAGGCCUAUGAACAUGAACUCCAAAUAUGUGGUCAUUUCUUUUACAAUAAUGUGAAUUGCAAGAGAUAAAAUGUUCACUGACAUAUCACCAGCAGAUAACAGAGUGUCUAGGAGAGAAUGUGCCCUUAACAAAUAAUUGAUGCAUGAAUCAAUUAAUAAAAGGGUAAGAUGAUUGUCUUAUUGGCAAUAGGGUUUGAUUACAGUAUGCUACCCAAUAAUCUUUGCUAAAGUAUUACAAAUUAUCUACGCUCUUUCCCAAAUUCCAUUUCUGAAAGGAAGAUAGUUUUGAAGUAUAUAUGGUUCCACACAUUCCUCAUUAAUAAUUGAGAAUAGCAAGUAGCAGAAAUUCUAUCAGCUAUUGAAAAUGGCACAGAUAAAGCAAUGGGGAGAGACAAUGUUGAGGAUCAUAGGGAAUGAAGAAUAUGCACAUGGUUCUCAAAGUUUCAUUCAGCUCCCCCAGCAUCAUAAUUACCUGAGCCUUAUUUCAAAUCCAGUUCUUGGCCCAAACCCAUGACCUAUGGAAACAAAAAUAUCGCAUGGGGGUUGGGGUUGAAAUCCAUGGUUUAUCAGUUUUUCCAGGUCAUUCAGAUGAAUGUUCAGCUUUGAGAAAUACUUAAUUAAGUUGGUUUACAGAUACAAAGUCUACAUAACUCUCCUUCACCUGAGAGCUAGAGUUUCAUAGGCACAAUUUGAUUCAUUAGUAUUUAUUAAAUAGUCUUUAAUGAAAGAAAUAUAAGAGUGGAAAUUGAGAUAUUAGAGACAGUGUUGAGAACCUCAAAAAUAAAAUUUGGAUAGUCACUUUUCUUGAAUUCUUGAUUUCUUAAAAACCCCUUUUUUUCUCAGAAAAUUCAGACCACAUAAUAGUAAAAACAAAACAAAACAAAACAAAAAAAUUCAUCUAAUGUAGGUAGUUGAAAAAGCGAAUUUAAUUUACUUUUUUGAAGAUACUUCAGAAAAGAUAUUGCAAUCAAAAUUUUUAAAGAGAUUAUUUAUUUAUUCAUGACAGACACACACACACACACAGAGAGACAGAGAGAGAGAGAGAGAGGGAGAGAGAGGCAGAGAUAUAGACAGAAGGAGAAGCAGGCUCCACGCAAGAAGCCCGAGGCGAGACUGGAUCCUGGGACUCCAUGAUCAUGCCCUGAGCCAAAGGCAGAUGCUCAACCGCUGAGCCACCCAGGUGUCCCAGGUAUGAUGGUUUUUGGGUAUACUUCAAAUGCUGGAAAUAUGUGAUGAGAAGAUUGCAAUGUAUUACAUGCAAAUAUGUGGUGGAUCUUUAUGCAUAUAAAUUUUACAUACAUAUAAAUUUUAUACCAAAUUUGGGUGUUGGCAAUAUUAGAGCAGUGUUCUUUUUUGGAACAAGACAUCAAUAGGCAUUCUAAGGUAUCAGUGUCAGAGGUAAUGGUCUCAUGACCCUAACAAUUAAGAGGUGGGGCAUUGGUACAGGGAAGAACAAAAUACCCACAGAAACCAGACGGCCUAAGACUCACUUGAUGAAUGGUUUACCUGACUGUUGACUGAAUGGGCAGGCAUUGCCAUUGGAUUACCAAAGAGAAACUUUCCAGUGAAUAUGCUAUGAGAGUUUACAAAAAUUAAUUCCAGGUACAUUCAAGAUGAAAAAGCAAAUUAAUCAUUUUAAAAGAAGUGAAUAUAGGAAAAUAUCUUUUUGAUUCUGUGUUAGAGAUGGAUUUCCUGGUGAAGAAAGAAAAAACACAUUUUAAAUAAGGUUAACUACUGAUCAAUUGAACUGCAAAAAUUUUAAGAAUAUUGUUUUCAAAAGACACCCUAAUGGAAGUGAGGGGUAAAACCAAUAAAG
rnacentral:lncRNA from 1 species